AAAUCGAGUUUGGUGUAAGACCAGCUCUUCCAGUGGUAGGGAUAUCCGUGAUUUUGGCGAACAAUCUGGCUGCGGAGCGGGUGCUGCCAGUCGAGCAGCUUCAACUACAGAAUGUGCAGAACUGUCUUUGGUGGACGGAGGCAUCUCGUGGCCACAUACUCUUCUUUCUGUGUCUUGGGAUAUGUAAAUCCAUCCAUCCACCCAUCCAUCAUCUUCUGCUUAUCCGGGGCCGGGU